AGUGUUAUGUCUGAAUAAGGUAAUAAAUUGUAAAUUUAUUUAUGAAAAUAAGUUUUUUCUAACACUA
rnacentral:tRNA from 1 species